GCUUAGAUGUUGAAGGAGACAUGUAGAUGAUCGGGUUUGAAGAUCACAUCGGUAGCUGCAGCUCUGUUUAUGUUGAUGGUAUAUGAGUCUAUAAACUGCUGCUUCUCAAUGGGAGGAGGUUGAGCUUGGUAAAGACGUUAGCUGCUCUAGGGUAUUUGCGCCUUUCCCUCUCUGUUUGAAGGCUGACUCAUGGCUAAAAGAAAUUGAAAGGCUUGUGAGUAAAACCACAUCACUCUCCUAGCUUUAUCGUGGUGUUAUUUGA
rnacentral:misc_RNA from 1 species